CAUCCCACCUCCUCCAGGGGCAGCCGGGAGAAUUUAAAGGGGGCCCAGGAAGUCACCACUGCAAGUUUAUAAAAGCUUUUAUUUGCUCUUGGUACGACCAAGAAUGGGACAGUGAUCUUUUAUACAAUUUGAUACAGUAAGUGGUACAAAAGAAUGUGUUUUAAAUAAAAAGCCAGAGUGGAGUAGCAAAAAUAUUAAAAGAUUAAGUAAAAAAUUGUCGCAUGGGAGUUAAUCCAAGACCUUGAUGCUGUUUUUAUUAUUCCACCGUCCGAGGGCCCGAGGCGCCGCGGUGAGCACGGCCCCCACGGCCCGUGACACUCGUGGGACAGAGCCCAGCUCAGGUUUGGUUUGUCGGGCCCGAUUGAGUCGUUUUGACAGGUUUUUGUGGCAGGAAGGGCCCAGCAGGGAGUUCAGACACCAGCACAAAUCAAAUUACCGCAAAUUAAUUCCUCCAACAUCGUUAUUUUUUUUGGGGGGGGGGGUGUUUUAUCUGUUUUCAGCACCGGCACCGACUCGUGCUGCUCGAGCCCACGCCCGCGGGUACAGCUCGUGGUUGGACAGGAACAGAAAAUAGACCAAAUAGAAAGAUUUCAGUUUAUUAACCGGGCAGGGGGAGGGGUCACACGGAGGGAGCCGAGCCCCUGGAAGCAGGUAAGAAGCUCACGUUUAAAACAAGGAUUAUACAAAAAAAACCCUUGAUGUAUAUUCGCCAUUU
rnacentral:lncRNA from 1 species